UUUGACAAAAGCCAAAGUUUUUUUUUAUAGUGUCGAACUUCGAAAAAAUUAUAAUUAUACUCAUAAAACGCGAUUAUUUCAUAGUUCCAAUUAAUUAAAAAAAAAAUUGCCUGCUUCUUCAAAAACUUCAUUCAAAAACAAAAAUAUUCAAGAAAAAAAACGUAUCAAUAGGUCAUUUUUGGAAAGAGUUAUGGCAAUUUGAAAAUUAAAUUGUCAUUAUUUUUUAAAAUUCCUAACUUUUUGAGUUUCAGCUAAAUCAAAAAAGGUCGGGUUCAAAAGUGGUCGAUUUGGCAUGGAAUACCCCAUAUAUGUAUAUACUAGCGACCUGCCCCGGCUUCGCACGGAAGUAAAAAACCGCAUCAAAAUCCGUUGCGUAGUUUCAAUGAUUUAAGCGUGCAAAGAGACAGACAGAGAAAGCGACUUUCCUUCUCCAAACAAAAACAUCAACCGGUCAACUUCAACCCACACGUACACACUUACACACGUCUAUGCUUGGAGGGAGAAGCUACGAAGCAUCGCACAAAGAGCAGACGGGAAUAAUCGAAAACUUUGUAUUUACUACAUCACAUUAGAAACCUCAAAAAUAACAGUACUUCUCCACUA